CACCGUCCUACGGUUAGUUUUGCAGGUUUGUCUCCAGCUGUGUGAUAUUCUGCUGUGCAAAUCCAGGCAACACUGACUGUGGUAUUG
ensembl:miRNA